AUUGAACGCCGGCGGCAUGCUUUACACAUGCAAGUCGAACGCCCCGCAAGGGGAGUGGCAGACGGGUGAGUAACGCGUGGGAACGUGCCCUUCGCUUCGGAAUAGCCCCGGGAAACUGGGAGUAAUACCGAAUACGCCGUAUUGGGAAAGAUUUAUCGGCGAAGGAUCGGCCCGCGUUGGAUUAGCUAGUUGGCGGUGUAAUGGACCACCAAGGCUACGAUCCAUAGCUGGUCUGAGAGGAUGAUCAGCCACACUGGGACUGAGACACGGCCCAGACUCCUACGGGAGGCAGCAGUGGGGAAUCUUGGACAAUGGGCGAAAGCCUGAUCCAGCCAUGCCGCGUGAGUGAAGAAGGCCUUAGGGUUGUAAAACUCUUUCGCCGGAGAAGAUAAUGACGGUAUCCGGAGAAGAAGCCCCGGCUAACUUCGUGCCAGCCGCCGCCGUAAGAC
rnacentral:rRNA from 1 species